rnacentral:tRNA from 1 species
GUCCCGUUCGUCUAGAGGCCCAGGACUCCAGUCUUUCAAGCUGGCAACACGGGUUCGAAUCCCGUACGGGACGCCA